rnacentral:tRNA from 1 species
GCAAUAGUAGCUCAGCGUUCAGAGCGCCGGUCUUGUAAGCCGAAUGUCGAAGGCUAAAUUCCUUCCUACUGCU